rnacentral:tRNA from 1 species
GCCCCCGUAGCUCAGUGGAUAGAGCGUGGCCGUCCUAAGGCCAGCGUCGGGGGUUCGAUUCCCUCCGGGGGCG